UACGGAGGGGGCUAGCGUUGUUCGUAAAUACUGGGCGUAAAGCGCACGUAGGCGGCUCAGCAAGUCAGGGGUGAAAUCCCGGGGCUCAACCCCGGAACUGCCCUUGAAACUGCUAUGCUAGAAUCUUGGAGAGGUCAGUGGAAUUCCGAGUGUAGAGGUGAAAUUCGUAGAUAUGCGGAAGAACAGCAGUGGCGAAGGCGACUGACUGGACAAGUAUUGACGCUGAGGUGCGAAAGCGUGGGGAGCAAACAGG
rnacentral:rRNA from 1 species